rnacentral:lncRNA from 1 species
AUGGUGGUAACAGAGGUGACAGGGAAGGGGAUGAGGGGGAGAGGGGGCUCCGCACAGGGCUCGCUGGAGGACACGAGACAGACGGCCUCGUGGCGGGGCGGGGGGGGGGGGCUGCACCCUGGCCUCCCACUCGCCGCCUGUAGCCUUGAUUGCUGGCUGGGGCUCAAGCCAUCCCCUGGGAAACCGGGGAAGCAUCCUGGGCUCCCGGGAGGAGUCGGGGUGAGUCACACACAGCGUGGCCUUGGGCCCAGUGCAUCCCAGGGCCCAGUGCCCAGCUGUCGGAGGGGCCCCGGAAGGCAGGCCCUGGCCCCUGCGUGCCUGGCUCCUCGCCUUCUCCCCUCGGCUGCCCCAGAUGGUGCCUGCCGCUCUUCCAGUAGCCAGCAGAGACAUAUUCUCUUUCUUUCUUUCUUUUUCUUUUUUCCUUUUUGGCUUCUUAAAGCAAAACAGUUUGUUUGUUUGCUUGCUAUAAAAAGAGCCGCCUCCCGGCCCCCUUCCCUCCCUCUCUCCCUCCCUCCCCUGGGCGCAGUCAGCAGCUUGCAGUGGCCGCCCCCACCCCGAGUCUUCAGCCAGCAUGCUCCUCCUGAGGCAGAUGUCUGCGGGGGAAUCUGUUGCCUGUCCCCAGGCCGCCCCGACAGAUGUACCAGCUUUAAUUGGGGGCCCGCGCGGCCUCCUCCGUGGGCCAAGGUCCGAGGCUCCGCUAGGCUCAUUUCCUGCUCCGAUACCCGUUCUCAGCCUUCUCGGCCUUCUCAGCCUCGGCGGGUGUCGUCCCCAGCCCUGGACAACGCGGGGUGCAGACUGUCCCGUCUCAGGCCGGCGCUCACGUCUCCCUGGCAACGUGCCUGCCGCGUUGGAUGUACUCUGACAGAAAGGAAACACAUGCGUCCCCUUGGCGGGGCCGUGGGAGCGGGGUAUGCUCUCCCCACCUGGAUCUCCUGGUCUGGGUCCAGCAGGCAGCAGCGUACUUCCCAGAGCUGGAGGUGGCCGGGGCCUUGGGCUGGAGCUGUGAGAACUUUGCAUCUCAAGGGCGGCCCUGGGAAAACGCGUCCCUGUGGCCAACACUGCCGUUGGUGGUGGGCUGGUGACAUGAACCGUGGUGGCCUUCUUCCUCCACCGCAGUGGGUGCGGGCGGGGUGCCAGGCCACCCCCACACCCGGGCUGCAGACACCCUGGGUGUUGAUGGAGGCCGCCGGCAGGUCAGGGCCUGGCCUUGCCUUAGGGAUGCACCUCUCCGUGUUUAUCGCCCAGUGUCCGUGCUUUCACUCUGCAUUGCUGUCCUGCUUCCUCUGCUCUGCGGACCUGACGCCUGGGUUUCUCAACCCGGCACUGGGGACAUCGCAGGGGAUAAAUUCUUCGUGCUAG